rnacentral:rRNA from 1 species
CAGCAGCCGCGGGAAUACGGAGGGAGCUAGCGUUAUUCGGAAUUACUGGGCGUAAAGCGCACGUAGGCGGCUUUGUAAGUUAGAGGUGAAAGCCUGGAGCUCAACUCCAGAAUUGCCUUUAAGACUGCAUCGCUUGAAUCCAGGAGAGGUGAGUGGAAUUCCGAGUGUAGAGGUGAAAUUCGUAGAUAUUCGGAAGAACACCAGUGGCGAAGGCGGCUUACUGGCUCAUACUGGACGCUGAGGUGCGAAAGCGUGGGGAGCAAACAGGAUUAGAUACCCGAGUAGUCCCUGUCUCUUAUAC